AUUGAACGCUGGCGGCAGGCCUAACACAUGCAAGUAGAGCGAGCGGCGGACGGGUGAGUAAUGUGUGGGAAACUGCCUGCAGGAGGGGGGUAACUACUGGAAACGGUAGCUAAUAACGCAUACCAUCAGAUUGGCCCAGGUGGGAUUAGCGAUUGGGUGGGGUAAAGGCUAACCUAGGCGACGAUCCCUAGCUGGUCGGCGAGGAUGACCAGCCACACUGGAACUUAGCCACGGUCCGGACUCCUCCGGGAGGCAGCAGUGGGGAAUAUUGCACAAUGGGCGCAAGCCUGAUGCAGCCAUGCCGCGUGUGUGAAGAAGGCCUUCGGUUUGUAAAGCACUUUCAGCGAGGAGUCGUUACCCGCAGAAGAAGCACCGGCUAACUCCGUGCCAGCAGCCGCGGUAAUUC
rnacentral:rRNA from 1 species